AUGGUAAUGAAAUUUUAGGAUGUUGUCCUAGAGGUAUAAUGUGGACCUCUGGAAGUUAUGGAUUUAAAAUCUGAGUGGCAGAUCUUCCGGAUCGAUCUACGUAGUGACGUAUUUUAUAUAAGUUAUAUAUUCUAUCGAUAUGAAUUCUGAGGUUGGAUUUGAUUACUGUUCUAGGCGGCGAUCGUCAUGACGCCUUGAUGUGUGGUGCUAGGGAGUUGUUGGACGAACUCCAGGUGAGUGGGCAGUUUUGUUUUCCGUAUACAUAUAUAAUUGACGUUUCCCAGAAAUUGAAAAUGUUACGAAAGUAUGCUUUAAAUGCAAAGUAUAAAAGUAUGUUUUCAAAUGCCAUGAGUAGAUUAUAUGAAAGAUAUGAUUUGAGAUAUAUUAGUUGAAAUACCAUGCUUAGAAGUAUGUGAAAAGUAUAUAGAAAUGUGAAUCGAAAUGCCAUGCAUGAAAUGAUAUGAAAAGUAUGAAUUGAGAUAUGAUGCAUAUGUAUGAAUUGGUGCUGUGGACGCACAGGUGAGUAUCAGGUGAGUAUAUUACUGCUAUGAUGAUGUUGAGAUAUAUUGAGCUCAUAACCUGCACCUUGGUAUUAGUGCUUAUUAUUAUUCACCGCAUCGCAUGCUCACCUUGGAUCCAAGUAGAUGCUAGUCGUACAGACCACCGGGGGUGGUUCCGACAUGCCAGUCGUACAGACCAUUAGAGGGGUUCCGACUGGUAGGUGACCUUAGAUUAUGUGCACAGAUGAUUGAUGAGAAAAGCACUAGAGCAUAUUAUUACACCAUUAAGUCGUACAGAUUACAUUAGGUAAUUCCGACUUAUGUGCAGUGUAGUGCCGUACAGGUCAUACUAGGUGACUCCGGCAUGGCCGAACAGGUCACAGUUGGUGACUCCGGUUAUAUGAGAUUUUGAGCUCUACAUUCAGCCGUACAGGACCAUUGUAGGGUCUCCGGUUGAUUUCUUUCUUGCACCUGAUAUGAUUAUUGCUGAUGCAUUCAUACUUAACUGUUGAAUUUAGACAUGGCAUGGCAUGAUUGAUAAAGAUAAAUGUUGAGAUAGUAAAAAUGAAGUUUUGAUAAUAUAUAUGUAUAUUUAUAUUUUACAUUUCUGGGAAAGUAUACAGGUUUUACGGAGAGGGGUUACAACGUUUUGAGAAAUGUUUGGAUUUGGAAAAGAAUUGUUUUACUGACCCACUCAAUUUUGGUUUUGCGCCCCUCCAGGUUCAUGAAUCACAAAGGUGUGGUGACUACGAGGAAUUCGACGGUGUUCUGACAGAUUGGACAAAAUUAGGACUCACUUUCGGGUGUAUCAACUUAGGAAUUGUAUCUUAAAGCUUCCGUACUGUGCAAAUGGUUACGUCACUCUCACGUGACGGCCAGCAUGCCCUCCUUCGGGACGGGGUGUGUCAGUUGGUAUCAGAGCAUGGUUGCAAUCUUGGACAUUUUGAGAAGUUCUAGUGAAUUCUGUCAGAACUACACCGCCUCGUAGCAAGCCACUUAGUUAGAGGAAUUUAGUCUCCCUAAUAUAACGGUUUAGGGGAAACUAUUAUUAUGGUGAUUCAGUCUAUUAUAAAAAGGGACAUUUUAAGAUGGGUUAUGAGUUGAAUUUGAAUCACUUAAGAGAAAUGAUGAACCUGAGGGAGCGAAGUAACGGUUUAACCAUUUGGAAAAGAUGUUUCGGAUUAUGCAAGUCAAAGGAAUCUUCCUUCUGACAAGGGGUCGAGAUGACUACCUGGUUUGAGUUAUGAACGUGUAUCCUGAUGGAAGCAGGAGUAUUAAUUGUUGUCAUCGGAGGAACAGCCGAUUUAAAAUUGUUUAAGGACUUGUUUAAGGAAAAGUUUAUCCCUCCGGCAUUUAUCGAUGGUAGUAAACAAGAGUUUACAAAUAUGAGACAAGGAAGGUGAUGAUCGAGGGAUAUUAUAGAAAGUUUUCAGACUUGCCUUGUUCCAUCCAGAUAUUGUUGUUAUUGGUGGAGGUGUUAUGUUGUUUUAAGCUGGGUGGCAAAAAGGGAAGUGGUAUUUUGGGUGACCACUAUCCAUUGUAGUUCUUAUCAGGAGUAUGCUAGAUGUUGUUGAGUCUUGAGGACUCUGAGAACAUGAGCAACGAGAAUAAAGAAGAAUAAGAAAUGAAUGGGAAUUUAAAGAAGACGAUAAAGUUAAUGAUUCGUCAUAUCAAGGAGAUAGAAAGAUUCAGAGCUUCGAAAGAAGUGAAGCUAGAGUUAAUUCUUCCAGCUGAGGUUUUAAUGUCGCUGGUCAGAGUAAAAGUGAUGGAUAUACUGGUAAUCCCAGAUAUUUGAGACAAGGUGUCUCGAGUAAAGGAAAUGUACUUUGUGCAGCAGGUACAAAAUUAACACUUUGGGAAAUGUGAAAUUAAUGAAUGUGUUUAUGUAAACAGAGGGGACACAUAAUUGUGAAUCGUCCCUAAAAUCAGUUGUACUCAACAAUUUUCCAUGAUAUCAUAGUGUCAAUUCAGCAGAGUUAUGGACUUAGUAGUUUGGUUGGAUUGACCAUGAGUACCGAGAGAUUUGAUGAGUUAUAUGUUCAGCCGUACAGGCCAAAAGAGGUGGAUCCGGCUGACACAUGAGAAAUUGGUGAGUUAUAGGCUCGGCUGUACGGACCACAAGAUGUGGAUCCGGCCGACGUAUUUACUGGGGAAUUGAUGUGUAAGUCGUACAGGUCACUAUAAGUGACUCCGACUAAUGUGCUAGCAUAGAUGGUUGAGCUGGAGAAUCAGCCGUACAGGUCAUUCUAGUUGACUCCGGCUGAUAUAUUUCUGAGUAUGGACAAUGAUGCCAAAGAAAGUAAUGUUGGAACGUGAUAGAGGCGUAUAUGUGUAUUCUAAUGAAAAAAAAAAAUGAUAGUAUUACACCUUUGGGAAUUGUUGCUUACUUAUCGAGACAACGAUGAUUUAUCAGUAUUGCGGGCUGCAGACCGUAAUAUUAAUAACUCAUUCGUGGAUUCGUUAAGCAAGCAAACCGGUAUUUUAUUUUAUGUUAGUGUUGUACUUAUUUAGAAUGUUCAGUAAUAAUAAAGUAUGUAUUGGGUCAGUUAAUUUUAUUCCAUUAGAUUGAUUAUUUAUAGUUGUGACUAGAUGGAAUAUUACGGGAAACCAGUUACUUUCCAUCGAUCUGGAUGACCAGAGAUUACUUUUGUAAGUAUGCAAAAUGGAUUGAGUCAGGCCGUUAUUUAUGCUGUGAGAGCAAAGAGAUUGUUUUCGAAAGGCUGUCAAAAAUACUUAGCUCAUGUGGUGCUAAAUGAUGUUGUUUGGAGUAGUGUGAAUAAUGUCGAAAGAGUUAGACUUUUCUUGAUGUCUUCUCUGAAAGUAUACCUGGAUUGUCUUCAGGCAGAGAUAUGAGGUUCAUUAUUGAUUUGUUGCCAGGUAUAAAUUUAUGUUAAAGAUUGGUUCAUGAUGAGUUAAGGGAAUUGGAAAUUCAGUUGAGAGAAUUGGUUGAUAAAAGUUUUAUUCAACCUAGUACAACACUGUUGAGGAGCACCAGUUUGUUGGUGAGAAAGGAAAUGGACUUAGAGAUUGUUCAUUGAUUAUAGAUAAUGGAAUCGGGUAACGAAUGAGAACCGUUAUCCAUUGUGGUGUAUUGACGCUCAUUUGAUCAGUUCAAAGGUGCUUGUAUAUUUUCAAAGAUUGACUUGAAUACUGUUUAUUAUCAAUUGAAGAUUAUGAGUUAUUGGAUGAAGUAUUCCAAUAAUGCCUUGAUAAAUAGAUAUCAUUUUCAUUGAAGAUAUUCUGGCAUAUUCUGAGCCAGAGCAGAACAUGUAAACGUAUUAAGUCGGUGGAACAAAGAUUGGAAGAAUGUCGGUUGUAUGCUAAGUAGCAAAUGCUAAAGUUAGAUGAAUCAUGUGGCAUUCUGAGAAUUGUUAUAUAUUCUUAAGGUAUUCAAGUGAAUCCUUAAAAGAUAGCAGAAAUUGAGAAAUUGGAACAACCACAAGCCAUAAUUGAGAUUCGGAAAUUCUUAACUUAUCAGGCUAUUUUGGAUGGUUGUGAAAGAAUUUUUAGUCAUUGUUUUGUCAUUGAUGAGACUGUUGAGAAAGGAGGUUAUGUAUGAGUGGGAAGGAAAUUGUGAGCAAAGGAUUCAACAACUGAAGUAUUUCCUCACUCAUGCACGUAUUUUAGUAAUCCCAAAGAAUAAUGGUAAUCAUAAAUUUUUAGUGAUGUUUCUUGAAUGGUAUUGGAUGCAUGUUGAUGCAAAUGUUAGGGUGAUUGCAUACGUUUCACGACAAAUGGAAUCUCAUGAGAUGAAUUACCCUACUGGUGAUUUGGAAGUCACGAUUACCAUCCUUGCUGUGAAGUUAUGGAGACAUUCUAUGUUGAUAAGAAUGCAAGAUUUUACAAAUCAAAAGAGUCUCCAAUAUUUGUUUACUUGGAAGGAUUUUGAUAGGAGGCAGCGAAUGUGAAUUGUAUUGCUUAAUGAACAUGAUUGUACGAUCAGGGUGAUCGUAAAGUUUGUUCUAACUGAAGCACUUGGUGAGAAGACUACAAUAAGAUUAAUGUCUGGCACGUUUGCCAAGAGUAUCAUCUUGUGGAUUGAAACCAACGGAAGAAAAAUUAAGAAUGGAAGAUCGAGAAGAAGUUAUACUUGUUAAAUUUCAAGUUAGGCCUGUUUGGUAAGGUCGUACUUGAAACUUAAAUGCUUGACGAAGAAAUUUAAGAAUUAACCAAGGUAGAGAAAGAAGGUAAGUUAAAUCCUAAGUUAAUCGGACUUAAGUGAUUAUCGAAAAGUUGGUGAAGUUGCUUACAAGCUUGUGAUGCCCUCAGAAUUGGUUAAGGUGCAAAACAUAUUUUAUGAUUCGAUGCGUUGUCACUAGGUGGCAGAUUCGUCACAUAAGAUUCUGGUGUAACUAUUGAGAAUUAAAUUGGAUUCGACUUGAUAAGGAACCAAGGACGACUUUGGAUUGGAAAAAGAAGGUCCUGAGAAAUUAAGACAGAGUAAGUAGUAGUAAAAGCUUUGUGAAGGAAAUCAUUCAGUAGAAAAGUAUGUGGGAGAAAGAGAAUCGGAUGAGAAAGAUUUACCCGAAGCUAUUGUUGGAGUAUGGUUUGAUUUUAGUUGGUUGCUGGAAUUUCGGGGACGAAAUUCUAUAAGGAGGGAAGAUUGUCACAGCCCGUCCCGGAAUUUUAAUUCCGAGGACAUGAAAAGACGAAAAUGCCCUUAAACGGGACUAAGGGGCGAAAAUUUAACAAUUUGGAUUGAGUUGGACACGUGGGAUCCCCACACCCCUCAAUCCUCUCCCUAUUUUCUGCAUACUGUCUCUCUCUCCUCCCUCACGAAUCUCUCUCUCUCUGUCACUCUUCUUCUCCGUUCGAACAAACCAACCACAAAACAACCUUAAACUUCCACCAACGACGGAGUUAAGACUACCAUCGAACUCCUGGAGACUCCACGAUCACGUAGACACCAAUUUCAGGUAAGUUUUACUUCGGAAAACCUAGAUUCUAAACUCCCCGUGAAAGUGCACUGUUCAUGAUCUUCGAAUUGACUUUGUUUUAGGACAAUCCAAGCUCACAGUGAGCUUAGUGAGGUUCCAAGGAAGCUCGGAGUGCUUCGUUGGAAGUUUUUGGACGUAAGAACACGGAGAUCGAUAAGUUCAAAGUUUGGCCGGAGCUUUCGAGGCAUUUUCCGGCGAAUCCCCGGCGAGUUAGGCGUCGAGGUAGGUAUCAAUCUCUUUCGUCUCGUCAAGUACUACAAACUUUCCUUUUUGUUUCACUCAAUUUCGUUGAGUAUUGAAGAAGUUAUACUCAUUUGAAAAAUACCCAGUUUCCGGCGACCUCCGAGGCUUUCGAGGCAGUUUCCGGCCAAACUACGGCGAACUAGGUGUUGGGAAAGGUACCAUUCUCUUUGUCUCUUCAAGGGCUACAACUUUCGUUUUUGAAUCACUUGAUUUCGUUGAGAAAUGACAAAGUUAUGGUAAUUUGAAAAACUGCCCAGAAAACGGCCGCCGGAAAAACCAGUCCGGCGACCCAAGGAAGAAGAAGGUGCUACAGUAAAAAAAUAAAUAAAAAUAAAAUUAUUUUAAAAAUAUGUCGACGUCCGUGACGUCGAGUAGAUCACCGUGGUAUAUUCAUAUACCCAAAUUGAACACCGUAUGAGAAAGUUAUUGAAGAUUGUUGGUUAGGUGUUCAAAUAACGUUUUUAUAGUUUUCACAUUUAGGUGAAAAUGUGAAUUGAUGAUCCGACCGUUGGAUCGUCACCAAACUUUGAUACGUUGUAAUACGUAAUAUUUGAGGAUUAUUGGAACUUACGGAUUGGGAAUCCGAGUUACGGAUCUUCCGGAAUUGGAAUUUGUAAGUCCAUAAUAUAAAAUGUUAACCGUCACUUAGUUUUGGAAAUUGACGGAGAUCCGACCGUUGGAUGGUAAUGAAAUUUUAGGAUGUUGUCCUAGAGGUAUAAUGUGGACCUCUGGAAGUUAUGGAUUUAAAAUCUGAGUGGCAGAUCUUCCGGAUCGAUCUACGUAGUGACGUAUUUUAUAUAAGUUAUAUAUUCUAUCGAUAUGAAUUCUGAGGUUGGAUUUGAUUACUGUUCUAGGCGGCGAUCGUCAUGACGCCUUGAUGUGUGGUGCUAGGGAGUUGUUGGACGAACUCCAGGUGAGUGGGCAGUUUUGUUUUCCGUAUAUACAUAUAUAAUUGACGUUUCCCAGAAAUUGAAAAUGUUACGAAAGUAUGCUUUAAAUGCAAAGUAUAAAAAAGUAUGUUUUCAAAUGCCAUGAGUAGAUUAUAUGAAAGAUAUGAUUUGAGAUAUAUUAGUUGAAAUACCAUGCUUAGAAGUAUGUGAAAAGUAUAUAGAAAUGUGAAUCGAAAUGCCAUGCAUGAAAUGAUAUGAAAAGUAUGAAUUGAGAUAUGAUGCAUAUGUAUGAAUUGGUGCUGUGGACGCACAGGUGAGUAUCAGGUGAGUAUAUUACUGCUAUGAUGAUGUUGAGAGAUAUAUUGAGCUCAUAACCUGCACCUUGGUAUUAGUGCUUAUUAUUAUUCACCGCAUCGCAUGCUCACCUUGGAUCCAAGUAGAUGCUAGUCGUACAGACCACCGGGGGUGGUUCCGACAUGCCAGUCGUACAGACCAUUAGAGGGGUUCCGACUGGUAGGUGACCUUAGAUUAUGUGCACAGAUGAUUGAUGAGAAAAAGCACUAGAGCAUAUUAUUACACCAUUAAGUCGUACAGAUUACAUUAGGUAAUUCCGACUUAUGUGCAGUGUAGUGCCGUACAGGUCAUACUAGGUGACUCCGGCAUGGCCGAACAGGUCACAGUUGGUGACUCCGGUUAUAUGAGAUUUUGAGCUCUACAUUCAGCCGUACAGGACCAUUGUAGGGUCUCCGGUUGAUUUCUUUCUUGCACCUGAUAUGAUUAUUGCUGAUGCAUUCAUACUUAACUGUUGAAUUUAGACAUGGCAUGGCAUGAUUGAUAAAGAUAAAUGUUGAGAUAGUAAAAAUGAAGUUUUGAUAAUAUAUAUGUAUAUUUAUAUUUUACAUUUCUGGGAAAGUAUACAG
rnacentral:lncRNA from 1 species